rnacentral:rRNA from 1 species
CUCGAGGUCCCUGAAGGUCCGUCGAAGACUACGACGUUGAUAGGCUGGAUGUGGAAGCGCAGCAAUGCGUGCAGCUAACCAGUACUAAUCGACCGUGCGGCUUGACCAUAUAACGCCCAAGCGGUCU